UGCCAGCAGCCGCGGUAACACGUAGGCACCAAGCGUUAUCCGGAUUUAUUGGGUUUAAAGGGUGCGCAGGCGGAACUUUAAGUCAGUGGUGAAAUCUUGCCGCUUAACGGUAAAAUUGCCAUUGAAACUGAAGUUCUUGAAUGUAGUUGAGGUAGGCGGAAUGUGUUGUGUAGCGGUGAAAUGCAUAGAUAUGACACAGAACGCCAAUUGCGAAGGCAGCUUACUAAGCUACGAUUGACGCUGAGGCACGAACGCGUGGGGCGCGAACAGGCUUCGAUA
rnacentral:rRNA from 1 species